GGGGUGUGAUGAGAGCAGGGCGCCUGAAGCAUGGCUCCUCUGUGUAUAACACAUCCAACAGGAACUUGGGUUUCCUUCUCACAGGUGGCAGGAUGCUGUGACCUUCCUGUGACAUUGUACCCCAUACAU